rnacentral:rRNA from 1 species
UGACCUCGGAUCAGACGUGAAUACCCGCUGAACUUAAGCAUAUCACUAAGCGGAGGAAAAGAAACUAACCAGGAUUCCCCCAGUAACGGCGAGUGAACAGGGAAGAGCCCAGCACCGAAGCCUGUGUCCAUUUGGUCACUAGGCAAUGUGGUGUUUAGGUCGUCUCGCAGUGGUGCUGCCCCACCCUAAGUCCAACACUGAGUACGGUUGUUUGGACAUGGCCCAAGGAGGGUGAAAGGCCCGUGGGGGUGGGGACCACAGUGCUGCUAUGAGUAGACCUUGGAGUCGGGUUGUUUGUGAAUGCAGCCCAAAGUGGGUGGUAAACUCCAUCCAAGGCUAAAUACUGGCACGAGUCCGAUAGCAAACAAGUACCGUGAGGGAAAGUUGAAAAGUACUUUGAAGAGAGAGUAAACAGUACGUGAAACCGCUCAGAGGUAAACGGGUGGAGUUGAACUGCAAGCUCCGAGAAUUCAGCUGGUGAGCGUGGUUUAAGGUAUGGUUAUGACGGUCGUCUGUGCGGGUUCGCUGCACUGCGGGUCUCUGCCUUCGGGUAGGGAUGCUGGGGUACUUACCAAGUACUACGCGCUUGUACAGUUCGACGGGCCGGCUUGCCAGUGCACUUUCUCGGAGUAGUCACCUCGACCGGCGCUGCUGCUUGUCUACUGGUGUUAAACCUGCUGCUUAUAGUCCUUGUGGCUCUUUGUGGUGGGGACGGCAGGUGGCCCGAUGGUUUUGCCAUCGGGUGUUAUCAGCUGACAUCAGUAGACCUAUGCGGUGCAUCGGAGACGGCGGCUUGUGAUGUGUACGUGUGUGCCUGUCUGCUGACGGUGCUGGGUCUGGUUGUCAUGUAGCCUGUAAAAGCAGGCCUGAUAAUGGCUCGGUAUUGUUUGGUGGGCGGUGGCAUGCGGGACAUCUGUAAUGAGGGCCAAUAGUCUGUGGUGUAGUGGUAGACCUUCCACCCGACCCGUCUUGAAACACGGACCAAGGAGAGUAACAUGUGCGCGAGUCAAUGGGUGUUACGAAACCCAAAGGCGAAGUGAAGGUGAAUGUUCGGCUUGUCCGGACUGAGGUGAGAUCUUGGCGUUUCUCACGCGUGGUAUCACCAUGCCCUUGAGCGUCAGGCGCAUCACCGGCCCGUCCCAUGGUGUGGGUGCUUUCCUUCGGGUGGGCACCCCAUCGGGGUGGAGCACGAGCGUACAUGUUGAGACCCGAAAGAUGGUGAACUAUGCUUGCAGAGGUUGAAGCCAGAGGAAACUCUGGUGGAGGACCGCAGCGAUUCUGACGUGCAAAUCGAUCGUCAAAUGUGAGUAUAGGGGCGAAAGACUAAUCGAACCAUCUAGUAGCUGGUUCCCUCCGAAGUUUCCCUCAGGAUAGCA